rnacentral:hammerhead_ribozyme from 1 species
GUCCAUCUGACGAGUUCCUAAUAGAAGGAAACGCGCGUUCUGGAU